rnacentral:lncRNA from 1 species
CGCACAGAGCUCUAUGAAAAUGCCAGGGAAGGACAGUGAAGUCAGACCAGGAAAGCAACAGGGCAUGCUUUCAGAAAAUAAGGCUUGAAUUAUUUUUUGACACAAAUAGGUGUCAGCCAACUUCCAAGUGGAGAGAGGAGAGCGAUCCCAGCAUCCAAGAGGAUCCUAAAGGAUUGGAUGACGCUGGAUAUUGCAGGAGAGUCAGGUAGUCUGACGGUGGGAAGGCAAUACAGCACAGUUCUGGUCCUGGAAGGCCUCUGCCAGGUAAAGAAUUCUGGACUUGGGACAGUAAAAAGGCAAGGGACUGAAUAGUGGAAAGAGGCACAGGGAGUGCAAACCUGGGCACAAGGUAGGUUGGAGACUGUCACCAUGAUCUAGGCAAGGCUGAAUCAGUAGGAGUCAGCCCCCUUGAGGGGAAGGCAAGGGACACUGGUGACUACUUCCAGACAGAAUACACAGAGGGUUUUGAGACUGGAAUGGCUCCAGUGUUUUUGGCUUGGGCAACAGGUGGUGCCAUUUCCCCAGAGGUGGCACCUUCAGGGUCAAACAGGUCCCAGCUGAGGUCCCCAAAGAACAAACAAAAGGGAAAGCAUCUCAGCCCCCACGUGAAGAAGCAGAACUGCCGCACACAGCAUUCCACAGUUUAUACAAAACUUGUGUUGAAACAGAGGCAGCAAGGACACAGGUGCUGCGGGGGCGGAGUGCCGGGGACUGCCAUCUGGAGAGGAGCAAGCUGCUUAGAGAGGGCUUUGAAAACCUCACCAUGGAGGCGAGGCUGGACACAGAAAACCCAAAACAACCAAACAAGCAAGGAUGCCACACAUUGAAACUAGCAACAGCAGGAAUUUAGAAGAAAAGGUAUACAAGGAUAUUUUAGAGAAUUUGUGUUACAUACACACAUGUGUAUGUCUAUAUAUUCUGAAAUGCUUAUCAUAUAUAUAUAUAUAUAUAUAUAUAUAUAUAUAUUUCUGCACACAUACAUAUAUAUAGAAGAAUCACCUUCAAUUCUUGAAAGCAAAAUAGAAAGAAGUUUCUGCCUUCUAAAAAUUUAAGAAAACCUUAUUAUUAAACAAAAACAAGAAAAUGACUGCCAAAUGAAGUGGAUUCAAUCCAAAGUAUGUAUGGGCACAGAGCCAAGCCAUCCAAGUACAGACACUGGAGGACAGACCAUCUUCCCCAACACAGUGUCGAGCUCCUGAUGAUUUCAUGGAGUGGCCCUCUGUGGGUGGAUGGAUAGAUGGACAUGGUGUUUGAUCUGACCAAGGAUGGAGAGAGAUGUUGAGUUUUCUGCAAAGUCUUCUCUUUCACUCAUGAUUGAAUCUCUAAUUUUUUUUUUUGAGACAGGGCUUCUCUGUGUAGCUUUGUAGGCCAGGCUGGCUUCAAACUCACAAAGAUCCACCUGCCUCUGCCUCCCAAGUGUGGGGGUUAAAGGCAUGCACUGCCACCACCACCCGAUAAAUCUCUGAUUUUUAACUUGGUACAUGGCUGUCUGGGACUGUGACUAUAUUUAUCUGUUUACUGUUUGUCUUGAUUCCACUUUGGUGCUCUUUCAAAUAAUGCUGCCGUGUUCAUGUGCAAGUCUUUAGGUGGACACAGCCCCGUGAGUCUUGAGUAGAGAGCCCAGAGUAGGCCUGCUAGUUGGGGGAGCUUAUGGCAUGGCUUUGUGGGGAAGCAUGGGGAAGUCUCAGAAAUGUGGUCCACAGCUGCUGCUCCGUUUCUUUUGAUGAGCUAACUUUGCAAGGCUGGCUGUUUUCUUAAAGAGAGAGUGCAGCUGCCUUCUUGGUGACUGAAUGUGAACAGAAGACAAGUUUUGAACUGUCUUGGGCAAGAAGGGAAGAAAUGCACUUUGAGCCUGGAGGAACAGCAAGCUAGCUGGAGUCAGGGCAACAGAGGCUCCAAACUUCACUAGGGUUUCCUGUCACUUGCAUUGGAAUCUAAUCCUAAUGUAUGUGGUUGUCAUGGGCUUGGCGAUACCUCUAUAGAACCAAAGAAGAGCAGAGAAAGUUGCUCAGAAAUGGAGGAGCUGGUCAAGGAAUAGACAGACAACCUGGAUGUCACCUGUGCCUGUGCUCUGGAGUCAUCCAUCCUAUCACAGGUAGCAUUGUUUUCUUUCUGAAAGGUCUGUCUUUUCGAAGAUGGCCAAAGAGGAAUUCAGAACCACCAGAUUAUAAUACUGAGUGAUGAGUAAACUGUCAUCUAGAGCCACAUUGUCACCCUGAGCUCUGAGAAAAGAUGCAGCAGCUCAUGAGACUACUGAAGGGAGCUGUUAGACACAACUGGUGACUGAUAUUUGGACAAUUCCACCUCACAGACCCUAACCUUAUCUGCCCUACUUUUAGGAAGCCCACUCUGUUGGAACAUGAGUAGUAACCAGAAUGGGUUGCAUGUGGAGAUUAUUAGAGGAAAAUACAGCAGAAGAGAAAUGAUUCCAGACAACAGAGAAUGAGCUCAGGCAUAUAGCAUCCAAAGGAGAUGCGGUUGAAUUAGAAGAGCUAAGCAAGAAAAUAGAGAAAAAUAAAACCAUGACAAAGUAAUGUAACCAGUCCCGAGGCACUAGGAGGAUGUGGAUUUCACCCGCAGCUAAAUCUCUCAUUGACAAGCAAUAAUUCUAUGCGUGUAUAGGCACAGUGUGAUGCUUGAGUCAAUAUCCCGGGAAGACAGUAGAAAGCUCUGAGACUUGGAAUCAGAAGAGUGACUAUCUCCAUAUUUGCCGAUUAAAACUAUAUGAUCUAGCUCCUAUUGAGGUUUUUUGAGACAAGGUCUGACCAGAUAGCCCUGGCUGACCUGGAAGUCACUACAUAGACCAGACUGGCUUCAAACUUCCAGCAAUCCUCUGGCUUCUACAUACUGGAAUUACAGGUGUGUGUCAGUGCAUUCCAGCAUGGGUUUAAUUUUCC